AAGUCGUAACAAGGUUUCCGUAGGUGAACCUGCGGAAGGAUCAUUAACACGUAUCCAACGUUAAACAACCCUGUGAACUUUCAGCCUGCUCUUGUAGCCCAUGAGGAACAGCAAUCCCGGUAAAUCAUUGCCGAACAGUUUUGAUUCGGGACCUCUGUCCAAAAGGAGUUGCAAUCGAGCGGUAGAGGCAGUGGCAUGGCUUCCCCAAGUGGUCAGUGAAUGACAGUGUCACUGGCUGUGUAAGGAUCUCGCUUCUACGAUUGCUUAGGGUCGCUCACCGACCAGCAGACAUGCAACCGGGUCCCCAUGCCCCUUUACAACCCGAAUAACAUCUGUGAGCAAACGGACCGUCCAGUUUGCUAAAAAAACCUCGAACAACUGUUAACAAUGGAUAUCUUGGCUCUC
rnacentral:misc_RNA from 1 species